rnacentral:rRNA from 1 species
GACGAACGCUGGCGGCGUGCUUAACACAUGCAAGUCGAACGGGAAGGCCCUGCUUUUGUGGGGUGCUCGAGUGGCGAACGGGUGAGUAACACGUGAGUAACCUGCCCUUGACUUUGGGAUAACUUCAGGAAACUGGGGCUAAUACCGGAUAGGAGCUCCUGCUGCAUGGUGGGGGUUGGAAAGUUUCGGCGGUUGGGGAUGGACUCGCGGCUUAUCAGCUUGUUGGUGGGGUAGUGGCUUACCAAGGCUUUGACGGGUAGCCGGCCUGAGAGGGUGACGGGCCACAUUGGGACUGAGAUACGGCCCAGACUCCUACGGGAGGCAGCAGUGGGGAAUAUUGCACAAUGGGCGGAAGCCUGAUGCAGCAACGCCGCGUGCGGGAUGACGGCCUUCGGGUUGUAAACCGCUUUCGCCUGUGACGAAGCGUGAGUGACGGUAAUGGGUAAAGAAGCACCGGCUAACUACGUG